rnacentral:rRNA from 1 species
GGGUAGUGCUUGAGGCUGGGUGGGGGAAGACGUAGGGUGGAGGGGUUGCCGGGAGGUGUUGGGCGGUGAGGGCUCGGAGGGGGAUUGUUGGGUAGGGUGGGGAAACCCUGGGCGUAGCCGUGGGCUUGCAGUGGAGACGGACAGACUAGGGGUAGGUAGGGGAGAAGGGAAGUCCCGGUGUGGCGGUGAAAUGCGCAGAUAUCGGGAGGAACACCGGUGGCGAAGGCGGUUCUCUGGGCCUUACCUGACGCUGAGGAGCGAAAGCGUGGGGAGCGAACAGGAUUAGAUACCCCAGUAGUC